UAUUAAAUGUAUGUAUGGUUCAAAACAGUCAAUCCUUCUACAUUAUUUUUUAAUUCUGAAUUUUUACGGGCACCUUUAAAUUAGGAGAGCAGAUGCAGGGGACAGGUUAUUACAGGAUUAGUCUUGAUACUAGAACUACCUUUGAAAGUGAUUCCUCAGGGAUCUAGAACUAGAAAUACCAUUUGAUGCAGCCAUCGCAUUACUGGGUAUAUAACCAAAGGAUUAUAAAUCACGCAGCUAUAAAGAAACAUGCACACGUAUGUUUAUUGCGGCAUUACAAGCCCAGGUUUGAAAAUGAGUCUCAGAUAUACACCCAUCCCAGGCAUGAAAGCUAAAACGCUAAUUCUUAUUCUUGAUUCCCACUCUCUCUCAAUAUUUCUCAAAUUUCUCACCCCUGGUGUGAGACCACAACAUUUUAUACAUAAAUCAAACUUUGCCCCAGACCUAUUGUGUUAUGGUAAUGCAAAUAUAUAUGCAUGCCAAUCCAAGUUAUAAACCUCUUGAGGAUAGGAAUCAAGGCUUAGUUAUAUUUGUAUCUCAGAUGUUAGUUUAAUCUCUCACACAUAGGAUCCAUUUGUUUAUUAAAUAAACUUAUUAGACACCUGGC
rnacentral:lncRNA from 1 species